rnacentral:rRNA from 1 species
AGAGUUUGAUCAUGGCUCAGAACGAACGCUGGCGGCGUGGAUAAGACAUGCAAGUCGAACGGGAUCAUUCCUGUAGCAAUACAGGGGUGGUUCAGUGGCGUAAGGGUGCGUAACACGUGGGCAAUCUGCCGAGAUGUGGGGGAUAGCUCGCCGAAAGGCGAAUUAAUACCGCAUGUGACUAGAAAGGACAUCCUUUCAACGUCAAAGCCGGGGCAACCUGGCGCAUCUUGAUGAGCCCGCGGCCUAUCAGCUUGUUGGCGGGGUAACGGCCCACCAAGGCUAUGACGGGUAGCUGGUCUGAGAGGACGACCAGCCACACUGGAACUGAGACACGGUCCAGACACCUACGGGUGGCAGCAGUCGAGAAUUUUUCUCAAUGGGGGAAACCCUGAAGGAGCGACGCCGCGUGGAGGAUGAAGGUCUUCGGAUUGUAAACUCCUGUCAUUUGGGAACAAUUGUCACCGGUUAACUGCCGGGGGCUUGAUAGUACCAGAAGAGGAAGGGACGGCUAACUCUGUGCCAGCAGCCGCGGUAAUACAGAGGGGGCAAGCGUUGUCCGGAAUUACUGGGCGUAAAGCGCGCGCAGACGGCUGGUGAUGUGCCUGGUGACAGUCCGCCGCUUAACGGCGGGAGGUCUGGGUAAACACACGAGCUAGCAGUAGGGAGAGGGGUGUGGAAUACCCGGUGGAGCGGUGAAAUGCGUAGAGAUCGGGUGGAACACCAGUGGCGAAGGCGGCACCCUGGCCCUAUAUGGACGUUGAGGCGCGACAGCGUGGGGAGCAAACGGGAUUAGAUACCCCCGUAGUCC